rnacentral:rRNA from 1 species
AAAUGAAUAGACGGGGACCCGCACAAGCAGCGGAGCAUGUGGUUUAAUUCGAAGCAACGCGAAGAACCUUACCAAGGCUUGACAUCCCUCUGACAGACCCAUAACGGGGUUCUUCUUCGGACAGAGGAGACAGGUGGUGCAUGGUUGUCGUCAGCUCGUGUCGUGAGAUGUUGGGUUAAGUCCCGCAACGAGCGCAACCCUUGUCAUUAGUUGCCAUCAGGUUAAGCUGGGCACUCUAAUGAGACCGCCGGGGAUAACUCGGAGGAAGGUGGGGAUGACGUCAAAUCAUCAUGCCCCUUAUGUCUUGGGCUACACACGUGCUACAAUGGCCGGUACAGCGAGAUGCAAACCUGCGAAGGGGAGCAAAACUUCAAAACCGGUCCCAGUUCGGAUUGCAGGCUGCAACCCGCCUGCAUGAAGUCGGAGUUGCUAGUAAUCGUGAAUCAGAAUGUCACGGUGAAUGCGUUCCCGGGUCUUGUACACACCGCCCGU